GAAAUAUUCUAUAAGAACUUCUAAUUCUUUCAAAAAUGUUUUAACAUUAAUAUUUCU
rnacentral:tRNA from 1 species